rnacentral:rRNA from 1 species
UACGAGGGGGGGCGAGCGUUGUUCGGAAUUAUUGGGCGUAAAGGGUGCGUAGGCGGUUCCGCAAGUCCUGUGUGAAAUCUUCGGGCUCAACUCGAAGUCUGCACGGGAAACUGCGGGGCUUGAGUGUGGGAGAGGUGAGUGGAAUUCCCGGUGUAGCGGUGAAAAUGCGCAGAUAUCAGGAAGAACACCCGUGGCGAAGGCGGCUCUCUGGGACGGUACUGACGCGAGACGCGAAAAGCGUGGGGAGCGAACAGG